AGAGUUUGAUCCUGGCUCAGAUUGAACGCUGGCGGCAGGCCUAACACAUGCAAGUCGGACGGUAGCACAGAGGAGCUUGCUCCUUGGGUGACGAGUGGCGGACGGGUGAGUAAUGUCUGGGGAUCUGCCCGAUAGAGGGGGAUAACCACUGGAAACGGUGGCUAAUACCGCAUAACGUCGCAAGACCAAAGAGGGGGACCUUCGGGCCUCUCACUAUCGGAUGAACCCAGAUGGGAUUAGCUAGUAGGCGGGGUAAUGGCCCACCUAGGCGACGAUCCCUAGCUGGUCUGAGAGGAUGACCAGCCACACUGGAACUGAGACACGGUCCAGACUCCUACGGGAGGCAGCAGUGGGGAAUAUUGCACAAUGGGCGCAAGCCUGAUGCAGCCAUGCCGCGUGUAUGAAGAAGGCCUUCGGGUUGUAAAGUACUUUCAGCGGGGAGGAAGGCGAUGGGGUUAAUAACCCUGUCGAUUGACGUUACCCGCAGAAGAAGCACCGGCUAACUCCGUGCCAGCAGCCGCGGUAAUAC
rnacentral:rRNA from 1 species